rnacentral:rRNA from 1 species
CUUUUCUCACAUGAGAGAAGAUGGAAAGACGGUUUCGGCUGUCACUUACAGAUGGGCCCGCGGCGCAUUAGCUAGUUGGUGAGGUAACGGCUCACCAAGGCGACGAUGCGUAGCCGACCUGAGAGGGUGAUCGGCCACACUGGGACUGAGACACGGCCCAGACUCCUACGGGAGGCAGCAGUAGGGAAUCUUCCGCAAUGGACGAAAGUCUGACGGAGCAACGCCGCGUGAGCGAUGAAGGCCUUCGGGUCGUAAAGCUCUGUUGUUAGGGAAGAACAAGUACCGGAGUAACUGCUGGUACCUUGACGGUACCUAACCAGAAAGCCACGGCUAACUACGUGC